AGAGUGAACGCUGGCGGCAGGCCUAACACAUGCAAGUCGAACGGCAGCACAGGAGAGCUUGCUCUCUGGGUGGCGAGUGGCGGACGGGUGAGGAAUACGGUCGGAAUCUAGCCUAUUUGUGGGGGGAUAACGUAGGGAAACUUACGGCUAAAUACCGGCAUACGACCUACGGGUGAAAGCGGAGGACCUUCGGGCUUCGCGCAGAUAGAUGAGCCGACGUCGGAUUAGCUAGUUGGCGGGUAAAGGCCCACCAAGGCGACGAUCCGUAGCUGGUCUGAGAGGAUGAUCAGCCACACUGGAACUGAGACACGGUCCAGACUCCUAGGGAGGCAGCAGUAGGGGAAUAUUGGACAAGUCGGGCGCAAGGCCUGAAUCCAAGCCAUGCCGCGUGUGUGAAGAAGGCCUUCGGUUGUAAAGCUACUUUUGACCGGAAAAGUAAAGCAACGUACGGUUAAUACCCGUAGGUCGUACGUAA
rnacentral:rRNA from 1 species